CUAAUACGUACGGACUGAGAAGACUGGGUAGGGCCUAUGUUGAACAAAGAACAUCUGCCUAACAUGUUUACGAGAAAUUUCAAAAAACCAGAUUGGACAAGUCAGCAAAUGGGGACAAGUUGUGGCGUGGCGCCAACAUCCCAUGUCUACCUGUGAACCAAACGGGGCCUUAAGUUUCAGCGUCAAAAACUGUCAGCGAAAGCUCAGGUUGCUCCCAUUCUUUGCCCCAGGUUU